GUUGUCAUUUUAAUUUCAUUUUUAUUAGGGUUUAAUAAACAAUGUUGGUGUUUUGUUUUUGAAAGCAUGAAUCACGUUGUGACUCGUGUUCAAAAAAGGGGGUAGUAUGGAUGGUAUGAGGAUUUAUUGGUAAAUUUGCAUAUUGUAUUAAGAAUAUGAGCAAAAGUAAGUAAUGUGUUAUGGGUUAGAUUAAAUGUUUUAAGGGAAAAUGUAUUUGUGGUAUAAGGCAGAAUUUAGAGGAGGCCUUUCUAUGACAUGAGUGGACUGCAACAAGCUGAAAGAUUGUGCACUUCCUAAUCUAAAAGGCUUAUCAGGAAUGAUAAGAAGAAAGGAUGAGGUAGCAUGCAGUGUCUCAACUAACAAUGUUAUGCAGACUUUCCAGGAGAAUGACAGACCUACCAGGAGAAUCUGGACAUUUUUAUGCAACUUGGAGACUAUGUGGUGGUAAAGGAUUAAUGAAGUAAUUGAUGGACAACACCCAAGUGGGAAGGUUAGUAAUAGGUGUUGAUGGCUACCUUGAUGGAGGGCCAAGUAAGAGAGAGAAAUUCCUAGAUCUGUAUGUACCAUUGUAGGACUUUUCUAACGCAGAGGAGGAAGAUGGCACCGCUUCGGCGGAGCAUUGUUUUGUUUUGUUUGUGUGUUUUUUGAAGCAGGGAAUAUUGGUAUGCUGAUAGAAGGACACAACAACAGAGAGAUGGUGAUAAAUGGAGAAGGACUCUGCAUGAUCAUAGAACUAGUGAAGGAAGAAGGUUCAUGCAUCAUCACACAGUCUACACCAACGGAGGAGUGGGAAAGGAGUUCACCAUUGAGUGAGAAUGGAGAAAGAUCUGUUCAAAUGCAACAUUGCUUUUGUUGGUAUGAUGGUUGACAAAUGGAAAUGACAUUGAAGUUGUGGAGUUGGUGGUGAAUCGAAUGAGACAUUGUAGUUGUGACAUUGUAAUGGGCAAGUCAUUUUGAAAUAUGAAGCUGUCUGAAGAACAUAAUGAAGAGACGCCAGAAGAUUUAUGUGCUGGACUUCCAGAUACCCACAGACGUGUCCUUCUGAGGGUCUGACCACAGCAAACAGUCACACAGCCCUGGUUUAACAACUGUACCCUGCCAAGACUGACUGGGGUGGAUCUGCAACUGGAACUAAUGCCAAAGAAAUGAACAAAACUGAAUUGUCUGAGUGAAUUGAUGAACUGCAGUCCUCACACUGCUUGAUGCUGUAGUAUGCCUUCCUCCUGUGUUGCAGACUUCUUUUAGUGGCAUAUGGUAGCUUAGUGGUUAAGAGCGUUGUGCCAGUAACCGAAAAGUCGCUGGUUCUAAUCCCCAAGCCGACUAGGUGAA